GCAUAAUCAUUUGCCCUUUAAUUUGGGGCUAGCAUGAACGGAUAAACGAAAUUCUUCCUUUAUUAAUUAUAUAUUUUAUAACCUAAACUUCAGGUGAAGAUGCCUGAAUCUUAAUGAAAGACAAGAAGACCCUAUAGAGUUUUAGUAAAGACCUUAACCUAUUCUCCUCUCUACUUUAAUUGGGGCGAUUAAGGAUUCCAAAUCACAUCCAAAUUUUAAAAGGUAAUAUUCCUCAUUAACCAUCCUAUUUUUUAGAAAUUAAAACCAACUACCUUAGGGAUAACAGGCUUAUCUUCCUAAAGAGUUCAAAUUAACAGGAAGGUUUGGCACCUCGAUGUUGGCUUAGAGUCACCUAAUAAAGCAAAAAUUAUUAAGGUUAGUUUGUUCAACUAUUAAACCUCU
rnacentral:rRNA from 1 species